rnacentral:rRNA from 1 species
AUUGAACGCUGGCGGCAGGCCUAACACAUGCACGUCGAACGAGUGGCGAACGGGUGAGUAACACGUGGGUGAUCUGCCUUGCACUUCGGGAUAAGCUUGGGAAACUGGGUCUAAUACCGGAUAGUGCAAGAUGAGCUCGCGUCCUAUCAGCUUGUUGGUGGGGUAAUGGCUACCAAGGCGCGAAGGGUAGCCGGCCUGAGAGGGUGUACGGCCACAUUGGGACUGAGAGACGGCCCAGACUCCUACGGGAGGCAGCAGGGGGGAAUAUUGCACAAUGGGCGGAAGCCUGAUGCAGCGACGCCGCGGGGGGGAUGAAGGCCUUCGGGUUGUAAACUCCUUUCGACAGGGACGCGGUACCUGUAUAAGAAGCACCGGCUAACUACGUGCCAGCAGCCGCGGUAAUUC